rnacentral:rRNA from 1 species
AUUGAACGCUGGCGGCAUGCCUUACACAUGCAAGUCGAACGGUAACAGGUUAAGCUGACGAGUGGCGAACGGGUGAGUAAUGUAUCGGAACGUGCCCAGUCGUGGGGGAUAACUACUCGAAAGAGUGGCUAAUACCGCAUACGACCUGAGGGUGAAAGCGGGGGACCGUAAGGCCUCGCGCGAUUGGAGCGGCUGAUAUCAGAUUAGCUGGUUGGUGGGGUAAAAGCCCACCAAGGCGACGAUUUGUAGAUGGUCUGAGAGGACGACCAGCCACACUGGGACUGAGACACGGCCCAGACUCCUACGGGAGGCAGCAGUGGGGAAUUUUGGACAAUGGACGCAAGUCUGAUCCAGCCAUGCCGCGUGCGGGAAGAAGGCCUUCGGGUUGUAAACCGCUUUUGUCAGGGAAGAAACGAGUUUCUCUAAUACAGAGACUUAAUGACGGUACCUGAAGAAUAAGCACCGGCUAACUACGUGCCAGCAGCCGCCGUAACAC